GAUGAAGAACGUAGCGAAAUGCGAUACGUAAUGUGAAUUGCAGAAUUCAGUGAAUCAUCGAAUCUUUGAACGCAUAUUGCGCUCUCUGGUAUUCCGGAGAGCAUGCUUGUUUGAGUAUCAGUAAACACCUCAACUCCCUUUCUUCUUGAAAUGGAGCUGGACUUGAGUGAUCCCAACGCUUUUCCUCACCGAAAAGUGGCGGGUUACUUGAAAUGCAGGUGCAGCUGGACUUUUCUCUGAGCUAUAAGCAUAUCUAUUUAGUCUGCCUAAAAAACAGAUUAUUACCUUUGCUGCAGCUAACAUAAAGGAGAUUAGUUCUUGUGCUGACUGAUGCAGGAUUCACAAAGACAGGCUUCGGCCGACUUUGUAAACUCGAUCUCAAAUCAAGUAAGACUACCCGCUGAACUUAAGCAUAUCAAUAAGCGGAGGA
rnacentral:misc_RNA from 1 species